rnacentral:rRNA from 1 species
CGGACGGGUGAGUAACGCGUGGAAAACCUGCCGUAUACUGGGGGAUAACACUUAGAAAUAGGUGCUAAUACCGCAUAAGCGCACAGCUUCGCAUGAAGCGGUGUGAAAAACUCUGGUGGUAUACGAUGGUCCCGCGUCUGAUUAGCUAGUUGGUGGGGUAAUGGCCUACCAAGGCAACGAUCAGUAGCCGGCCUGAGAGGGUGAACGGCCACAUUGGGACUGAGACACGGCCCAAACUCCUACGGAAGGCAGCAG